GGGAAGUAGUCAUAUGUCCAGAUCAUGCAGGACCCUGAAGAAAACAGAAAGGGCUCUUCAUUCUGUUAUUUUCAGUAAGAUGGAAGAGAAUUUGGGGGUUAAAGGUGAGGACUGGCAUGGCCUAAAGUGUGUUUUAAUAGGAUCACUGUGACUUCUGUGAUAAAAGCAGACUGCAAGGACAGAAGCUGAAGCAGGAGGGGCUGGUUCCUGAUUUUUAUUUUAUGAGCUCAGGAUGAUGAAUCUGAUCCUAAAAUCUGAGACACACGUCUUGAAAUUGGGGCUAUCUCAGAAAAUAGAGAAACACGUCAAUGUGAGGAAUGACUGGGCCAGCAUCUCAGGAAAUGACCUCUGGUUUGUAAUCCACAUGGACAAUUUCCCUGUAGCACAUCAAAGCCCUGAGUCAGCUUGUCCUAUAGAUCUGCUCCCCCUACAUAUAGCUUAGAUCUCCACAGUCUUGUCACUUCCUUCCUCUGUCCACAUUUCACCCCGACAUGACAAUGCCAGAAGUAAAGUAUUUGAGUCAGAGUCAAGCUGGAGAAUGACGCAGUGUAGGCUAGGCAUGGCAUCCCAGUUGCUUCUGCAUCAGAUAGCUAGCCCUAUCUUCACCUUGUUGGGUAAAACUAAACCAGCCAGCACAAAUCUCUGUCCAGUGCAUCUUUAAAGAUUCUCCCAAUGUCAAACAUUAUUUAAAGAAAGAAAUUUGUGACCCUGCUGGAUGGCACUGGCCUGAGGUGGUUUGCUAUGAACUCACUAUGUGACCUUAGAUAAAAAGUCUCCCUGUUCUAGACCUCAGUUUCCUUGCCUAUUUAAUGAGAUGCCUUGAUUCACUUUCUAAUGUUUAUUGAGUUUCCACUCUGGGGCACAAAGGUGCACAAGACAGACAUACCCCUUGCCAUAGUGGAGCUUACAAUUUAGUGGAAUAGACAGAUAGCAUUUUAAAAAGCAAAUCUAAAGUAGUGUGGAAGUAUUCCACAGAGGAGAAAUUAUAGGGAUUCCACUGAAACCAAAGGAGGGGCAGCUAGGCCAGACUCAGGGAGUCAAGGAACAUCUUGGCACCAGUAAUAUCUGUGAUGGUUAAUACGGAGCAUCAACUUUAUUGGAUUGAGGGAUGCAAAGUGUUGUUCCUGGGUGUGUCUGUGAGGGCGUUGCCAAAGGAGAUUAACAUUUGAGUCAGUGGACUGUGAAAGGCAGAUCCACCAUCAAUCCGGGUGGGCAUAAUCUAAUCAGCUGCCAGCGCAGCCAGGAUAAAAGCAGGCAGAUGAAGGUGAAAAAAAACUAGACAGGCUUAGUCUCCUGGCCUACAUCUUUCUCCCAUGAUGGAUGCUUUAUGCCCUCGAACAUCGAACUCCAAGUUCUUCAGCUUUGGGACUCUUGGACCUUUGACUGCAGAAUGAAGGCUGCACUAUUGGCUUCCCUACUUUUGAGGUUUGGGGACUCAGACUGGCUUCCUUGCUCCUCAGCUUGCAGAUGGCCUAUUGUGGGACCUCACCUUGUGAUUGUCUGACACAUUGAAUUUGUGAAGAGAGGAGGGGAAGAGGAGAUAGGUGGAGAAAACUGCUUCUUAGGAGUGAUUACAGCCACAGAGAGACUUGAAGAGACAUCUUUGGACCCCAUAUUUCUUUUGCCACCAGUGACUUCCAAAUCAAAUGAGUCCAAUCUGCAGAUCAAAAUGAGAUUUUUCUUAUUGACUUCCCUGAAAGCUUAGCCGGCUCUCUGCAAAUCGAGUCAUGUGUAUCCUGCAUCCUCAUCAACCAUUGCCGAUUGCAGGGAUGUCGGAACUGGGCCAAGAUUGGCAAAUAUGUCACUGAUGCAUGAGGCUAGGGAAAAUCCAGCUCUUAUUGGCCUGGCAGUGCUGACCUGGUUUGUCCGUAAAUGAAGAGCAAAUGCAAUUUGCAAAACACAUAGAACUGAUAAGGGAUUACAACAAGGCGGGAUUCAAGCUGCUUUUCAAAGAGCAGGCCCUCUUGAAAAGGGGACAAAGCCGAUUUCAAGAUUGAAAUCGGACAGUGUUUCUUAAAGUGUGCUCUGUAUGCCAUCUUUAUCAUAGUUACCUGGAGUUUAUUUUAAAAAUAUGUAUCUGGGUCUAACCCCAGGCCAGUUGAAUUAGAGAGUCUGGGGGUAGGGCACGGGAAAACUCCACAUUUAACAAGCCCCCGAGUGAUUCGUGUGCACAUUAAAGUCUAAGAUGUCCUUGAAGAAGGAAAGUUUUUCCACUUGGGUAUUGGAAAAAACACUGAAUUUGGAGUCAGCCCACUUGAUCCUUCACACGGACUCUGCUGUUAACUGGCUGGAUGACCUCGUAGUGAAGGGGAAAGGAAACGGGAUGUGAAAUCAGAAGCAGGCAUAGGCCUACCUCUCACAGAAGAGCUGUGUAAUGACAGUUAAUAGCUAAGCUAAGUCUCACCCUCACCACCCGAAAAUGCAGAGCUGGGCUCAGGUGACCUUGAAAGGUGUGGUAGCUCUGACGGUCUAUUUCUUUAAAUCACCUAACAUCAGUUUCUUCAUCUGAAAAAUGGGAAGUUUAUGUUCUGUUUUGGCUAUGCUUUUUGGGGGAUUCAAUAAAACAAUGUACAUACAUUUAAAAA